rnacentral:rRNA from 1 species
CCUACGGGUGGCAGCAGUGAGGAAUAUUGGUCAAUGGACGCAAGUCUGAACCAGCCAUGCCGCGUGCAGGAAGACGGCCCUAUGAGUUGUAAACUGCUUUUGUACGAGGGUAAACGCAGAUACGCGUAUCUGUCUGAAAGUAUCGUACGAAUAAGGAUCGGCUAACUCCGUGCCAGCAGCCGCGGUAAUACGGAGGAUUCGAGCGUUAUCCGGAUUUAUUGGGUUUAAAGGGUGCGUAGGCGGUCGGUUAAGUUAGUGGUGAAAGCCCGAGGCUCAACCUUGGAAUUGCAAUUGAUACUGUUCGGCUAGAGAAUAGUUGCGGUAGGCGGAAUGUGUGGUGUAGCGGUGAAAUGCUUAGAGAUCAUAAAGAACACCGAUUGCGAAGGCAGCUUACCAAGCUACUUCUGACAUUGAGGCACGAAAGCGUGGGGAGCAAACAGGAUUAGAUACCCCAGUAGUC